CCGGUCUUCUAAGCACCCAAUCCUUCCUCUCCUUCCCCGUGUAUGUAGAGGGAUAGGGGCCUGUUGAGUUGUGUUGUUUCACUUUGUCCACGCACUACUUUCUCUGCCAUCUGAUAGCCUCGUCAAAAUCGAGAUUUCCCUGGUGGAGAUGGAGGAUGUAGAAGCCGCGCUCCUAAGGGCGGGGAUAGCGGCGGACCCUGAUCUUGAAGCAGCGAUGCAAGCUCCUGUUACUGUUAUGCUGGGUCCCUCGGCCCUCCUCCUCCGGGAACUCGAUUCUUCCGGACAGAGUCUUCUCGGUGCGGAGGAGCUUCGUCUUCUUAGAGAUGCUCUCAGCGAAGUAUGCAUCCCCCUGAAGAAUAUGUCGGAAGAUGACGGCGCUAGCUUCAUGGCCAGGUGGUGGAUGAAGAUAGUUCGGGAGCUUUGUUAUGACACGCAGGAUUACCUCAACUUCGUCCAAAGUGCUCGAGAUCGUCGUGAUUUUUCAGAGUUGCCUGAUCGUGCCAAGGCUGUUUAUUCAGGCUUACUUGCUCGUGCCAUGGAUGCGAGGGAAAGACGCAGAGGUUUCCAGUGGUCUCCCAAGACCGCCAGGCCUGACACGCAGGAAGCCCGCGACCGCCGCAUCUCCAAAAUAUUGGCCCGGAUGCCGGGUUCCUUCGGUGUCCGUAGUACCACACCCGGUGCCGUGGUCGUGGAGGCCCCAAACAAGCUUGUCGAGCUGCUAGCUUUAGACGACGAUGUCGACGACAAGACACUCAAGGUGAUACCUAUAAUUGGAUGUGCAGGUGUUGGAAAGACAACAGCUGCCAGAACCUUGUAUCACAAGCAUGGAGGGAAAUUUCAGUGCCGGGCUUUCGUAAGUGUGUCUCCAAAUCCAGAUAUGAGGGGGAUCCUCACCAGCAUGCUCUCACAACUCAAGGCACCAAGACCCCCUGGUUUUCCUGAUGUGCUGGACCUUAUUGGUGCUAUCAGCAAGCAUCUCCAAGGCAAAGGGUACUUCAUCGUACUUGAUGAUUUAUGGACUGCAUCCGUAUGGCAUAUUGUUAGCCGCGCUUUUCCUCGUGGUGAUCAACGCAGCAGAAUAAUAACAACUACACAAGUGCAUGACGUAGCGCUGGCAUGCUCUGGUUAUCACUCGGUCCGUAUAUAUAAGAUGGAACUUCUUGAUGAAUAUGAAUCUCGAAAGUUAUUCUUCCGUGGGGUGUUUAGCUCUGCCCCUGGGGCUGGUUGUUCUCCAGCUACCAAAGAAGUCUCAUACGAGAUUAUCAGAAAAUGUGAAGGUUUGCCAUUAGCAAUUGUAAGUAUAGCCGGUCUGUUAGCAAGCGAAUCAAGAAUCGUCAUGGAAGAUUGGAAGAACAUACAGAAUUCUUUUUCCUCUACUUCCGAAGGGAUGAACGAUGUUUUAAACCUUAUCUACAAUAGUCUUCCACCUGGUUUGAGGACAUGCUUGCUAUAUCUGAGUAUGUAUCCACAGGGCUACGUGAUGAAGAAGGCUGAGUUGGUGAGGCACUGGGUAGCCGAAGGUUUUUUCGGUGAUGUGGAAGGGACAGUCACAUUGAAAAUUGCUGAGUGUUAUUUUGAUGAGCUUGUCAGCAGAGCAAUGGUCCAAGCAGUGGACACCAAUCAUAUUGGUGAGGUGUUGUCAUGUACGGUUCACCAUUUGGUACUGGAUUUUAUUAGGUCCAAAUCCUUGGAUGAGAAUUUUGUCACCACUGUGGACUAUUCUGAAUCAAUUCUAGCAAACACUGACAAAGUUCGUCGAUUAUCCAUCCAGUUUGGAGGGGUAAAAAGCGCAUACAUUCCAGAAACCAUCGUAACAUCGAAAGUUCGGUCACUUGCAUAUUGGGGUUUCUUCAAGUGUGCGCCUCCUUCCAUUAUGGAUUAUGGAUUUCUUCGUAUUCUGAAUCUUCAUAUUUGGGCUGAUGAAGACAAUGAGAUUUUUGACCUCAUUGGAAUCACAAAGCUUUCUCUUCUGAAGUAUCUCAAGAUUGAAUGUAAUAUCACCGUCAAACUUCCAGACAGGAUUGGAAUGCUCCGAUACUUGGAGACACUGGAAGUAGAUGCAAGAUUGUUUGCUGUUCCAUCAGAUAUGGAUAAUCUGGAGAGGUUACUGCACCUUCGCCUUCCGAGCGAGUCUAUUCUGCCCCAAGAAGUUGCCCGCGUGAGAUCUGUACGCUCUCUGGGGUAUCUUGACCUUAGCUAUUGCUCACCACUGAAUUUGUUAGAUCUUGUACGGCUGACCAAUCUCCAGGAUCUUCACCUCACCUGUUAUACUGUUCAGCCAGCUCACCUUCCGAGCGAGUCUAUUCUGCCUCAAGGAGUAGCCCACAUGUCAUCUCAUCGCAUGUCAUAUUUUGGUAUCAUCCGUUCCAUAACAUGGAAUUAUAACCUCCAGGAUCUCGAGCCCACCUGUUCUAUGGUACAGGGAGCAGAAACUCUGAAAAAGAAUGUGCAAAUCUUAGGCUCGAUUGUUGAGAAGUUUAGCUACUUGCACACCAUAACUUUGGUGCCUGCUUCAGUCUCCUCUCAUGAGGAUGAUGCUCAGGCUGCACCUGCAAGCAUAAUUAUUCCCCCUGAUGGCUUUGACAUGGCGUCUCCUCCUCCAGACCUGCUUCUACAGAGGAUCGAGCUGUCGCGACACUGCUGCAUCUUCUUCUGCAUACCUAAGUGGUUUGGAGAGCUAAGGAAACUCUGCAUCCUAAAGAUUGCAAUUAGGAGUCUGUCGAGGAGUGAUAUCGAGAUCCUGGAAAGAAUGCCGGCCCUCGCUGCUCUCACCCUGCACAAUCAGACAACUCCCACAGAAAAGAUGAUCAUGACUGACGGGGGAUUCUAUAGACUCACGUGCUUCAAGUUCUUGUGCGCUGCACCAUGCCUGUCAUUUGCACAGGGAGCAAUGCGCAGACUCCAAAAGCUCAACCUAGGAUUCAACUCAAAAGAAUGGAGAUCGGAUACCAUUGAAACUGUUGGCUUGAGUCACUUGAGAAGCCUUACGGAUGUAUGUGUAAGACUUGGUGCUGGGGCUGCUGACAACUUCAACGUAAAAGUUGCCGAGUCGGCAUUGGAGGCUGUCGUCAGGAAUCACCCCAACUCUCCCAGGAUCAGAAUAAAACUUGCGGAUGUGAUUUUUAUGGUGAGGAGGAUGAGAGGACCGUGACUCGCGAGAAUCAGGAAGGCAAGGAAAGCAGGUCUGCGAGAGGCCAAGAUGCAACAAGGGGCGAGCAUCAACAACGGCGAUCACCAAUGGCCGCACCGACGCACUACAAAGCCGCGCCAAGGAGCUCAGCAAUGCAGGCUGGAGCGUCAACAAAGGCAGUAUCAGGAAGGGAAGCAGCACCGCCUCCCACCAGCUCCAGCCCAUCAAAGCCGUUGCCAUCUUCCUCCCGCGACAGCCCACCAAGGUCGAGGCGACAUGGCUCCCGCAUCAUCCCUCCCCGACCCACGAGCCCGCCCCAACCCAAGCGCUAAGCUUUUGGUACGCUUAUUUCUUCUUCGUGCACCAAAAAGAGAAAACGCUUUUAAUGUACCAUUUACAGCCUUGCUCAAGUUUUCUAAGCUCUUAGUAUGAUUUUCCUAAGGACAUAAGAGAGUGUCGAUCUGUUCUUUCUUGUCAUGGAGUCCAUCUGCUACCUACUUUCUUCCCUCUAGAAACUCUCUUGUGCUGGAUUCUAACCUAUUCAAAGUCAGAACUGGGCACCAGGUGCUUAUUUUCAUUCAUCCCUGACCCAGGCCAGGGGUUGAGCGCAUCAUCCCGCUUAUUAGCGCUGGGGACAUCCGACAGACAGACGGUGCGUCAAGACGAUGCACCAUGCAGCGGGACGAACGAGCAUCCGAGGAGCAAUCCCCACCCUGAUGCCAUCCAAACUGAUCAGCUGUCUAAAUAUUACAGCAUCUAUUCUACAUUCGUAUGUACUGUGUUAUCUUAUAGGCUGGCAUUUUUCUCAUUGUUUUUCAAAAAGAGGAUGUAACCCUCGACCUCUGAGUGAUGCACACAGCCUCAUAGGCUGGCAUUAUACAUUUGAUACUUCUGUGACCAUGCUGCGAGCUGCAUGAUCGACAUGUUCUCGUUUGAAAUGGGGAAGACAUAAACAUAUAUGUCAUACGAGGAAAGGAGAAAAUGUUCUGUUGUAAAUAAUUAGAGAGUGCUCUGAGUGACUUACUUAGGUUUUAAGACAAAACAAAUAGGGCUUGUGG
rnacentral:rRNA from 1 species